CCCGGGCCGUGUCGAUGGGAUAAUUACGAUGAUCUAACGGCCGGGCUCUUUUGCAUGCAGCCUUGCUGAAUGGGACGCCUGGAGGCUGCAUUGAGGCCGGCCGGUGUAAACUGUGGGGUGCCUCGCCGACUCGGAGCCGCGGAGGCUGGCGGCGGGUCAGCUCCGACCCCUGCGCAUUCAGCCUUUGAAUGGGCCGCCGCCUUUGAGCCGCGAGUGACAGAUUGGAGUUACUGUGUGCACACGCUCGUACACGGCAGUAGCGCGUGGAUGAAGGUCGGAGGACAACUCGUGGGAAUCGCUUCUCGCCAGUGGGUCCCAGGAACCGAACUCAAACAAACAGGCUUGGCAGCGAGAGGUUUUUAACCUGAUGCCCCCCUCCCACCUCCACUCCGGUUGUGGCUCCGGAGAAGUUCUCUGGCAGCUGACCUGGCCCCUGCCAAGGGCACCAGACCCCAGUCCAGUUCUCUUGGAGGGGAAAUGAGGGGGCGGGGUGAGAAUGGAUACUUGGUGCCUCAAAA